rnacentral:piRNA from 1 species
AACAAUGAGCAGGGGCGAUAACUAAAAG